UACGGAGGGUGCAAGCGUUAAUCGGAAUUACUGGGCGUAAAGCGCGCGUAGGCGGUUUGUUAAGCGAGAUGUGAAAGCCCCGGGCUUAACCUGGGAAUUGCAUUUCGAACUGGCAGGCUAGAGUGUAGAAGAGGGGUGUGGAAUUUCCGGUGUAGCGGUGAAAUGCGUAGAGAUCGGAAGGAACACCAGUGGCGAAGGCGACACCCUGGUCUAACACUGACGCUGAGGUGCGAAAGCGUGGGGAGCAAACAGG
rnacentral:rRNA from 1 species